AGAAAAUAGUCCAUCAUGGCCGACCAAGAAGAUCUAUCUAUCUAUCUCUGUUUAAUGUCAACUCCUCUUCCGAGUGUUACUGACAUGAACGGUGCGCGCCGGCUUGCUAGUGAAAAAAUAAAACACUGAUGAGGCAAAUCACAUCAGAAAAAGAGCAGUAUGGUACCAGUGGUGCAGCCGACUCUGAAUUCCUGGCUUGUUCUAAUGAAAAAAGUCGGAUGAGGCACUGGAAUCCGAAUGAAAUCAAAAAUGCCAUUAUAUGAGGAUUGACCUGCAAUGCAUGGAAAUCAUCUAACACAACUGCAACGCCUACCUUAGGGAAAUGAGUGCAAGAUGGAAACAAAGCGUUCAGUGAAACAUCUUGUCAUCUCAAAUAUUUGAUGACUAAAUACUGAUGUGAAGUUGCAGAUAAAAGUCAUCUGUUGGCCCGUGAUUAUUAGAUACACCCAGACACAUAUUUUAAAAGAGUUAUAUGGUAAAGGAUUUAUCUACGCUUAAAGUGGUUUUCCUAUAUUAAGGAGGGAAGAUUACUACAAAAACAGAAACAGAUGGCAUUGGCAGACCAAAUAAAGGAGAACUAUUGUGUUCAGUUCAAUUUUUAAGACUUUAGAAAAGCCUUUAAUAGGGCACAUCCUUGCAAAUGCCAUAUUGAAAUCUGGGCUUUUAAAAUGUGAAAAGGUGAAAGUGGUCUAGAGGAUAAGCCUCAAAUCCAAGGUUGUGGGUUCAAGCCCCUCCAAGAUACUUUCUCAUGACCUCAGGAAAAGGAUGUCCGUACUUGUUUAGAACUACUUUGGCAACAGACUUGAGAGUGCUUCUGUAAGCUUACAGCUUGCAUAGCAAUCUGAUUAGGCAUAAAAUAAGAUACUAGCUGAAUUACAAACAGUUUUUCCAUUUGUGUUGAUUUGUUUUUCAGUCUGUUGGAAUGCUCAUUUUAAGGGAUGAGCAUUGCUUACCGCAACCAAUAUUUAUUUUCUUUAUUAAGUUGAAUUUAACGAACACAUAACAUGACUUGUGAUUUUACAGAUGCAUGUUUAUUUUGUUGAUUGUAUGAGUUUAUUUUCUCAAACGAUGUAAUAAAAGUUAUUCUGAA